rfam:Myotis brandtii contig157182, whole genome shotgun sequence.
GAGACACCCUUAUGGAGCAGGACUGGCUUCAGUGGGGCUUUGGUACUCACUCAGUCUGCCCCUUGAGUGUGUCACU